rnacentral:lncRNA from 1 species
CAAAACACACAACGGCAACAACAACAGUCAACACGAUAGACAUAGCAAAAAAACAGAACCAAGAGAGACACAAUUUCUUCUCAGUGUCUUCAAGAACACCAAAUUGUCAUCAAUAAGAAGCAUCUAGUUUCUUCACAUGCAAACCAAACAAAAUAAACAUUAUCAUCAUUACCUGGCCGGGAGUGUAAGCUUGAGCAAGAGCAGCAGUGGAAGGAUCAGGUUUCCCCAUGCGAAUUCUCAUGUAAGGAUCGCAUGACAAGUAGAGAUUCUUCACUAGAACAGAGUUAGUACCUUCCGGAACCCUAAGUUCGACGGUGGUGGUAGUGAAAUCGAAAUCGGAUUCCGUAGGGAAACCACUCACGUAGUCUUUCAAUAUGACUUGCUUGUUCGUCGCCGUCAUCGUUGAUUCUCGUGACUUCACCAAAUUUGUUACUGCUUCUUCUUCGGUUUCUCUCGAUGACGCCGCUGCUUUUAUAGAGUCAUCUCCAGUGUGCCACGAAUUCAUGAUAUCAACUUAUCAAGUAUGACGUCACUGCUUAUGUGUUCUGAUUUUUCACAUUUUGGAUUCUUUCUCUUUCGAGCGUUUUUUUCUCUCUUUGACUUUCACAUUCCUUUUGCAUACCUUUUUUUUUCCUCUUACGUAUCUCUCCUUUCACAUUUUGCUUUUCGUCUUUUUACACUAGAGAACUAAUUCUAAACUCGUAUUAAAUUUCUCACUAAUGAUAGUAAUUGGAAAAACUAGAGGUUUUUGACACCCUCAAUACAUUGUUAAGGUAAAUGCAACUUUUUGCGGAGUCUUUUUGGAAAUAAGAUAGAAAACAGAGUUCGAAGGCUAAAACAGAGCAAUCUGGUGCUUAAGUUCUUCUUGUAUGGAACCAGACGCGGAGUACGUCUUCGAGUUUCGUCGAGCUAUUUGGUAUUAAACGUAACAUUGUGGUUAAUCCAGCUUCAAUAGCUCUACUUUGAGUUACCAAAAUUUAAACACGUUGUGGUCAAUAUCCUCGUUUGUUGGUCACCUAAUUGACAAAUUUGGGUAGGUUUACUAAUUUCCAAAUGGCUAAAAUGUGAUUGGUCCAGUCCACUUUGCCAAUUGAUGAAAGAAAAAUUGAAAUAGGUGGUAACGGUGAAAAUAACUUUAUAACAUAUCACACCAAACCCACAAAACAGUAUCCCCAUCUUCCGAAUUAGUGUUCGCAACACUAACUGUUAAAACAGAGCACAAAACAGAGCCAUGUCCUAUAAUAAAGAAGAAAAGGAGUUGCACAAAUUGUAUUCAUUGAUGCUUAAACACGCAUACUUGGGAACAAGAGCUAGAAACAUGGGUUUGUAUUAGGCUUCUUUUUUGGAUUUGUGAGAGAGGUUUUGGCUUGUUUGUUACUACUUACAUACAUUUUGUGAACCAAGUCACAUAAAAUGAUAAAACCAAUAACAAACAAAUUAAUCUUACUGUAUAUACUAUAAUUACUAUUAUUCAUAAACCAAAAACUCACGGUUGGGUUCAACAGCCAUACAAACUCUUGUUGGAUAAAUAUAACAUUUCUCCCAAAUAAGUAUUAUUCCCUCACGAGCAAUAAAACCUUACUCCCAAUUAAAGUAUUCAUCAUUCACGAGCAAUAACAACAACUUGUUUCCCAACAUUCUUACCAUGGAAGAGUCCCACGAGAGCUUCAGGACCUUUCUCGAGCCCAUCAGCUACAUCUUCCACGUACGUUAUCUUCCCUUCUUUAAUGUGCGGAUGCAGAAACUCCAAGAACUUUGAGUAUUCGUCGUAGAAAUCAGACACUACAAAGCCUUGAAUGCGGAUUCGUUUGUAGAUUAUGUUGGAUAGGUUGUGUACACCUUCUUGGUUCUCAAGAUUGUACUGUGAGAUCAUUCCACAGACAGCGAUACGCCCGUGCAUGUUCAUGUUCAUAAGCACUGCAUCUAGCAUUUUGCCUCCUACAUUCUCAAAGUAUAUGUCAAUGCCAUUAGGGAAACACCUGGAAAAAAACGGAGAAUAUCUCUUAGAUUGGUCAAAACGCAAUUGAGAAGAUCAAUCAAAAAGUAUUGCCGCUUUAUUAUGCAAACGGAUUCUAACAUUUAUAGGCAUAAAACACUUAGAAAUAAGUAGUUUACUGAACCUUUUGAGCGCAGCACUAAGGUCAGGUUCUUCCUUGUAGUUAAAUGCAUAAUCAAACCCAAACUUGGUCUUCAGGAGAUCAACCUAACAGAUACCCCAAAAAUGGUUAAUCAUACUCUUGAAGGAGAACCAAGAAAUAUAAGGAAUCAAAAUAUAGAAAAUAAUGAUCAAAUUCUCACCUUUUCUUUGCUACCAGCACUUCCAACAACAUAACAGCCCAUCAUCUUAGCAAAUUGUCCCACAAGCUGACCAACAGCACCAGAUGCAGCUGACACAUAAACUGUCUCUCCUUUCUUUGGAGAACAGAUCUCAUAAAACCCAACAUAUGCGGUCAUACCAGGCAUACCUUUCAGUAACAGAGAACACCCAUCAAAGAGUGAAUAUAUGAAACAGAUCAACAAACCAAACAGUUGAAACUCUAGUCUUCUAGACUAAAGUUACAACCAAUUCCAUUGAUAUGUUUCUAAGAUUUGUUAGACAUCAAAACAUUGUAUCAUCAAGAAGCAGAUUUCCAAAAUUUUACAGAGUGAUUCCACCUUACAAAACUAUGAAAAAGGCUGAGAUUAACAUACCGAGAAGUCCAGUGUAGUAAGACAAUGGAACAUCAGUAUGUUGGAUCUUGAAAUGCUCGUGAGUCAAGUGAUAACACUGUACUCCUCCCAUGCAACUAUACCCCAGAGUAGGUCUCCUUUUUUGUAAUCUGAAUGCCCAGAUUCUAUCACUGUAGACACUCCGUACCCUUCUAUUGGCUGCACCAAAAACACAAUGGAAACAAGAAGACUCAACGCGAUAGAGAUAGCGAAAAGAAAAACCCGAAGAGACACAAUUUCUUCUCAGAGUCUUCAAGAACACCAAAUUGUCAUGUAGUUUCUACAUCAAUAAGAAGCAUCUAGUUUCUUCACAUGCAAACCAAACAAAAUAAACAUUAUCAUCAUUACUUGGCCGGGAGUGUAAGCUUGAGCAAGAGCAGCAGUGGAAGGAUUAGGUUUCCCCAUGCAAAUUCUC